GUGCGACGGGGGAACCCCAAGUGCCACUCUUAACGGGGUGGCUUUUCAGAAGUGUAAAAAGCUUCUGGAAAAAGGGCUGGGCAAGACCGGUGCCAGCCGCCGCGGUAACACCGGCAGCUCAAGUGGUAGCCGCUUUUAUUGGGCCUAAAGCGUCCGUAGCCGGUCUGAUAAGUCUCUGGUGAAAUCCCACAGCUUAACUGUGGGAAUUGCUGGAGAUACUAUCAUGACUCGAGGUCGGGAGAGGCUGGAGGUACUCCCAGGGUAGGGGUGAAAUCCUGUAAUCCUGGGAGGACCACCUGUGGCGAAGGCGUCCAGCUGGAACGAACCUGACGGUGAGGGACGAAAGCCAGGGGCGCGAACCGGAUUAGAUACCCGGGUAGUCCUGGCCGUAAACGAUGUGGACUUGGUGUUGGGAUGGCUU
rnacentral:rRNA from 1 species